AUUGAACGCUGGCGGCAUGCCUUACACAUGCAAGUCGAACGGUAACAGGUCUUCGGAUGCUGACGAGUGGCGAACGGGCGAGUAAUACAUCGGAACGUGCCUAGUAGUGGGGGAUAACUACUCGAAAGAGUGGCUAAUACCGCAUGAGAUCUACGGAUGAAAGCAGGGGAUCGCAAGACCUUGUGCUACUAGAGCGGCCGAUGGCAGAUUAGGUAGUUGGUGGGAUAAAAGCUUACCAAGCCGACGAUCUGUAGCUGGUCUGAGGGGACGAUCAGCCACACUGGGACUGAGACACGGCCCAGACUCCUACGGGAGGCAGCAGUGGGGAAUUUUGGACAAUGGGCGCAAGCCUGAUCCAGCAAUGCCGCGUGCAGGAUGAAGGCCUUCGGGUUGUAAACUGCUUUUGUACGGAACGAAAAGCCCCGGGUUAAUACCCUGGGGUCAUGACGGUACCGUAAGAAUAAGCACCGGCUAACUACGUGCCAGCAGCCGCCGUAA
rnacentral:rRNA from 1 species